rnacentral:rRNA from 1 species
AUGGCGCUGGUGAAGCACUCGCCGACGGGCCCGUGCGCCCUGGUCUUCUCCGAUGACGGGGAGUUCCUCGCCGCGGGGAUGAUCUCUAUCAGCCGCAGCGACGACCCGGCACUCCGGAUUUUGAGGACUGGCGACGACAGCGUCGCCACCGACGACGUCCUCAGGGUGGAGGCCUUGUACGGCUGCCCGGCGGGUUUCGCGCGGCUCGCGUGGUCCAAGUGUAGCGGAGGGCUCAUCGCCGGCGGGCUCACCAACGGCGCAGUCUCCGUGUGGGACACCCGCGACCUGCCUAUUCUGUACGUAUGCUUUUCGCUUCGCACUUUUCUUGCAUUGGAUUUGGCGGCUCGCCGAGGGUGCCCGCUGCUUGGCCGGCCGCUUGGGUGCAGCCCGCCGUCGCUGCUGGCAAUUCCGGCCGAGAGUCUCCACUGCUCGUCGCUGCCUGCACCGGCGGGCGGCGGCUGCAUAGAGUUUCGCGUGUUUGUUCCGUGUUUGGGGUGGGCUAGGUAG